GACUCUCGGCAAUGGAUAUCUCGGCUCUUGUCACAAUGAAGAACGUAGCGAAAUGCGAUACUUAGUGUGAAUUGCAGAAUCUCGUGAAUCAUCGAGUUUUUGAACGAAAUUUGCGCCCAAGGCCUCGGUCGAGGGCACGUCUGUCUGGGCAUCG
rfam:Picea glauca, whole genome shotgun sequence.